rnacentral:rRNA from 1 species
UACGUAGGGUGCGAGCGUUAAUCGGAAUUACUGGGCGUAAAGCGUGCGCAGGCGGUUCGUUGUGUCGGCGGUGAAAGCCCCGGGCUCAACCUGGGAAUGGCCGUUGAAACUGGCGAACUGGAGUGUGGCAGAGGGGGGUGGAAUUCCGCGUGUAGUAGUGAAAUGCGUAGAGAUGCGGAGGAACACCGAUGGCGAAGGCAGCCCCCUGGGCCAACACUGACGCUCAGGCACGAAAGCGUGGGGAGCAAACAGG